CCCUUAGAUGUUCUGGGCCGCACGCGCGCUACACUGACGAAUGCAACGAGCUUAUAACCUUGGCCGAAAGGUCUGGGUAAUCUCCAAAUUUCGUCGUGAUGGGGAUAGAUUAUUGCAAUUAUUAAUCUUCAACGAGGAAUGCCUAGUAAGUGCAAGUCAUCAGCUUGCGUUGAUUACGUCCCUGCCCUUUGUACACACCGCCCGUCGCUCCUACCGAUUGAAUGGUCCGGUGAAGCGUUCGGACCGUGGCCUUUGGACGGUUCGCCGUCUGUUGGCUGCGGGAAGUUCGUUAAACCUUAUCAUUUAGAGGAAGGAGAANUCGUANCA
rnacentral:rRNA from 1 species